UCGGGAUGACAACAAUGCACAGCGCUGAGCCAAUCGGGUCACGCGCCCAGCUUCGAGCCGUUAGCUCAUUGGCUGUCUGAGCUGAACGCUCCCCUGGUUGAAAGCAGAGGAGCUCAGUUCACUGGGAGCUGCACAACAAAGCGGAGGAAGAUCAGAAAGCUCGGCAAACACUCAGAAAAGAUUAUAAUUAGUGGAAUUCUGAGCUGUAAUCAGGAGGAACACAAACACAGCAGGAUGCUGUAUCUGAGGUCUCAUCCAUUUUCCAACAUCUGCUCAGUCCAUUGUGGCUCCUGUGGACAGCACGUCCUCCAGCUGAGACACAUCUUCCCUCCAGCCUGUCCCGGGUCUGCCUCAGGGUCUCAUCCUAACUGGAAACCAGGACUCAUCACCUGCUGAUUCACCUCUACUGCUUCCACUCCAUGCAGAGCGUCUGAGUGUGUCACGUGACCGUAUAAGGAUAUCCUCUCUCUGUGACAUCACAUAGAGCAAAGAGUAGAAAAAUUAAACCUUUAGAAGCUGACAGUUAUGGUGUGUAUGGUGUGUCCACAUUAUGAUCAUGAAUUAUGUGAUCAGCUCUGACUGAUCUGAUGGUCAGUGUCUCCUCUGCUCAGUGAAUUCAGGCAGCAUA